GUGGGUGUGACUCAGUGGUAGAGUGCUUACCUAGCAUGUGUGAGACAUUGGGUUCAAUCCUCAGCACCACA
rnacentral:tRNA from 1 species